rnacentral:rRNA from 1 species
AUUGAACGCUGGCGGCAUGCCUUACACAUGCAAGUCGAGCGGCAGCGGACCUUCGGGUGCCGGCGAGUGGCGAACGGGUGAGUAAAGUAUCGGAACGUACCUUUCAGUGGGGGAUAACGUAGCGAAAGUUACGCUAAUACCGCAUAUUCUCUGAGGAGGAAAGCAGGGGACCUUCGGGCCUUGCGCUGAUGGAGCGGCCGAUAUCAGAUUAGCUAGUUGGUGGGGUAAAGGCCUACCAAGGCGACGAUCUGUAGCGGGUCUGAGAGGAUGAUCCGCCACACUGGGACUGAGACACGGCCCAGACUCCUACGGGAGGCAGCAGUGGGGAAUUUUGGACAAUGGGCGAAAGCCUGAUCCAGCCAUGCCGCGUGAGUGAAGAAGGCCUUCGGGUUGUAAAGCUCUUUCGGCCGGGAAGAAAUCGUGUGGGCUAAUACCCUGCAUGGAUGACGGUACCGGAAUAAGAAGCACCGGCUAACUACGUGCCAGCCGCCGCCGUAA